UGAAAAUUUUACACUGGCCAGAGAGUAAAUUUUACUCUAAUUUUGAUGGGACCAAAUGUUAUUUGAAACAGAGUUAAAUUCAACUCUCUAAGAGUUAAACUGACACUGUUUUUUACUAUGUACCUUUAUAU